GCCUUUGUGGAUCAUGGUGGUCAGCUCAUGUAAAUAAGAUGAUGAUAUUAUCGGAUUAUUGAGCAGGUGGAGGUUCGAUUCCUCCCGAAGGCA